AGGCAGCAGUAGGGAAUCUUCCACAAUGGACGCAAGUCUGAUGGAGCAACGCCGCGUGAGUGAAGAAGGUCUUCGGAUCGUAAAGCUCUGUUGUUGGUGAAGAAGGAUAGAGGCAGUAACUGGUCUUU
rnacentral:rRNA from 1 species